UGUGAAAUUGAGCACUACAUCCUUUAAGGGGGUUUCAAGUGGUGUUUGUGAUUUAUGUUGAAUUUCUGGGUUUUUAUUUGCUUGAAUGAAAAUAGAACAAGAUGACCAUCCCAUGGACAACCAGCUUUUUGUAAUCCAUCCUCAGAUGACACUGGACUGCUUUACUUGACAUAACCUUGUUUUAAUGCAGAGCCUGAGGGGAAAAGGAACCCAAAAAUUAGUCUUGGAGUUGUUUUUCUGACCCUUUAAUUCUUCACUGCGAAUGGACGUGUUGAACUUUGCUUCAUGGAAUUACAAAUGCCACAGAGUAAUGCCACUUUUGCAACCUCGCCUUUGCGCUCGGUUUUUGUAUAUUGCAUUCAAUAAGUGAUGCAACCCGACAAUCAAGCCUGAACUGCUCAAGUAAUACGGCAGAAUGUCUCAAAUCACAUGGCUGAAGUUCAGCCUUGUUAAGCUCAUUUCUUUGCCGAAUGGUCAAUGCACAUGACCUCGUUUCUGAUGAAGCACAAUGUGCUUGUAGUCGCGUGUAUUACGGUUGAAGUGUUAAUGCGCUAACGUGGUGGUCCUUCCGGUCACAGUGUGAGCUCACCGCUUCACCCCCGCUUUUCUUAAAAAAUACAGAUUCUGUAUUAGUUCACUGAAUUUAUAGACGAUGUGUCUAAAACAUGACUGAUACAAUCACCCUGUCGGUGGUUCUUACCUGUCAAAUGUGCCUCAUUUAUGUACGUGUAUAAAAUGAACAGACUGUCCUCUGUCUUGUUUCUCUUGUACCGUUUUGCUGCCUCACAUUUAGGUUGCAUUUUGUUUUACACCACUUCUGCCCAGUUAUGUUUUUCUGAGUAAGUCCCAGGACUUGAAAUUAACUUAAAUCUGUGCAUUUUUGUAUUUUCCAGUGUGCAUGCUCUUAAUCGCAAGGCUGUGUACAAUCCGUCCUUGUUUUUUGUGUCAUUAAUAAAAGAUGUUAUUAGGAA